GUUGCUGUCCCAACCUGUUCUUGAACCCAUUCUGUCUUACGAAGACAUAUCAAGAGAAAUUGUGGUCUAUAAAUCCCCAAACAAGAGGCUCAAAGAUCGGACUCGUAAAUCAAGCCGCUGUUGAAUAAGAGGCUCAAAGAUCAAGCUUGUAGUUUGAUCCCUCUGGAGAAUAUACUGACGAUGUCAUAAUAUUAUUGUUCAAAACCAAGAUUGGAUGAAUUAAGUGUAUAAAAGAAGAAAAGGGAAAAAAAUGCCAUAAAAAUGGC
rnacentral:lncRNA from 1 species